rnacentral:rRNA from 1 species
UACAGAGGGUGCGAGCGUUGUUCGGAAUUAUUGGGCGUAAAGGGCGCGUAGGCGGCGCCACAAGUCACCUGUGAAAACUCUGGGCUCAACCCAGAGCCUGCAGGCGAAACUGUGGUGCUGGAGUAUGGGAGAGGUGCGUGGAACUGCGAGUGUAGAGGUGAAAUUCGUAGAUAUUCGCAAGAACACCAGUGGCGAAGGCGGCUCACUGGCCCGGUACUGACGCUGAGGUGCGAAAGCGUGGGGAGCAAACAGG